rnacentral:rRNA from 1 species
GACGAACGCUGGCGGCGUGCUUAACACAUGCAAGUCGAGCGGUAAGGCCCUUUCGGGGGUACACGAGCGGCGAACGGGUGAGUAACACGUGGGUGACCUGCCUUUAGCUCUGGGAUAAGCCUGGGAAACUGGGUCUAAUACCGGAUAUGACUCCGCGGUGCAUGCUGUGGGGUGAAAGCCUUGUGCGGCUGGAGAUGGGCCCGCGGCCUAUCAGCUUGGUUGGUGGGGUGAUGGCCUACAAGGCGACGACGGGUAGCCGGCCUGAGAGGCGACCGGCCACACUGGGACUGAGACACGGCCCAGACU